rnacentral:rRNA from 1 species
AGCAGUCGCCGCGGGAAUACGUAGGGCGCAAGCGUUGUCCGGAAUUAUUGGGCGUAAAGAGCUCGUAGGCGGUCUGUCGCGUCUGGUGUGAAAUCCCGAGGCUCAACCUCGGGCUUGCAUCGGGUACGGGCAGACUAGAGUGCGGUAGGGGAGACUGGAAUUCCUGGUGUAGCGGUGGAAUGCGCAGAUAUCAGGAGGAACACCGAUGGCGAAGGCAGGUCUCUGGGCCGCAACUGACGCUGAGGAGCGAAAGCAUGGGGAGCGAACAGGAUUAGAUACCCCCGUAGUCCCUGUCUCUUAUAC